AUUGAACGCUAGCGACAGGCUUAACACAUGCAAGUCGAGGGACCGGCGCACGGGUGAGUAACACGUAUCCAACCUGCCCUUUACUCGGGGAUAGCCUUUCGAAAGAAAGAUUAAUACCCGAUAUAAAGGAUGGGGAUGCGUUCGAUUAGGUUGUGGGUGAGGUAACGGCUCACCAAGCCGUCGAUGGGUAGGGGUUGUGAGAGGAAGGUCCCCCACAUUGGAACUGGGACACGGUCCAAACUCCUACGGGAGGCAGCAGUGAGGAAUAUUGGUCAAUGGGCGCUAGCCUGACCCAGCCAAGUAGCGUGAAGGAUGAAGGCUUUUGGGGCGUAAACUUCUUUUUUAUAAGCAUAUGUAUUAUAUGAAUAAGGAUCGGCUAACUCCGUGCCAGCCGCCGCGGUAAUUC
rnacentral:rRNA from 1 species